UAGGGCUUUUUGCCUUCUUGUAUCAUUUUCAUAUGCACAUCCUUGCCAAAUCGCCAGUGGUGAAGUUUUAUUCAAGGCUGCUGAGUGUCUGAUGGAGCAUAGGGUGCCUCUGUCUGUGAAGCAGUCUGCCUCAGAGGAGUUAUUUUCCUGACAUCUUCAUUAGCACCGCAGCAAGGAAAAGAAUCUAUUAGCCAAAGUGAUCAGCUAGAAAAAAGGGGGUUCUUUGGGUGUGAAUUCAGCUGCAUCUUCGCGUGUUUUCGGGAUCAGAUUUUGGCCACCUUCCAAAAACCUCCUUGCAAUCUCCUCAGCACUGGGGCCUGGGAAGGAGACAUGAUGGUUAGAAAUUAAAGAAAUACAUCUUAAAAGAAACUGCAGUGGCCUGAAGACAGAAGCUGGCAAAAUAGGCUUGAAGGACAAAAAAUGAACUGAGUUAUCAUGUAUAAUUGAAAAGGCUAUGAGAAUUAAAACAUGGAAUUCAAGAGACAUUAAAACUUCCCAGCAUAAGCAGGCAGCCAUGCUUGUUUUUAUUGCCCCUAUGUUCACCAAUGAGAAGCCCAAAAAUAGUCCCAGGCAUUUCAAGUGUGACAGAUAAAUUACCCUUGAUUUAAUUAGAAAAUGCAUCUGAAGCACUUUCUUAAUUACAAAGUAAA